UCAGACUCGCGGCACCGAGCUCAGUAACACGUGGCCAAACUACCCUACAGAGACGGAUACCCUCGGGAAACUGAGGUUAACCCGUCAUACCGAUCUCAGGCUUGAAUCGCAGAGAUCACAAAACGCCCCGGCGCUGUAGGAUGUGGCUGCGGUUGAUUAGGUAGACGGUGGGGUAACGGCCCACCGUGCCCAUAAUCAGUACAGGUUGUGAGAGCAAGAACCUGGAGACGGAAUCUGAGACAAGAUUCCGGGCCCUACGGGGCGCAGCAGGCGCGAAACCUUUACACUGCACGCACGUGCGAUAAGGGGACUCCGAGUGCGAGGGCAUAUCGUCCUCGCUUUCGUGUACCGUAGGGUGGUACACCAACAAGGGCUGGGCAAGACCGGUGCCAGCCGCCGCGGUAAUACCGGCAGCCCGAGUGAUGGCCGAUCUUAUUGGGCCUAAAGCGUCCGUAGCUGGCUGCGCAAGUCCGUCGGGAAAUCCACUCGCCCAACGAGUGGGCGUCCGACGGAAACUGCACAGCUUGGGACCGGAAGGCUCGAAGGGUACGUUCGGGGUAGGAGUGAAAUCCCAUAAUCCCGCACGGACCACCGAUGGCGAAAGCACUUCGAGAAAACGGAUCCGACAGUGAGGGACGAAAGCCAGGGUCUCCAACCGGAUUAGAUACCCGGGUAGUCCUGGUCGUAAACAAUGUUCGCUAGGUAUGACACAGACUACGCGUCUCUGUUGUGCCGUAGGGAAGCCG
rnacentral:rRNA from 1 species